UUUGGUCAAAAGGUAAGAGGGAUCCUCUCAACUGUAGGUUCAUAUUGAAAUAAAUAAUUUUUUUUUUAUGGACACUGCCGGAAAUUUCGAUUCUUCUGAUUUAAGCUACCUCUAUCAAAAAAAUAGAGAAUUUUGUUGAAUCUAGAGGUGAUGAGGGGUGUCAAUAAGGAAAUUAACGUUACAAGGGCCUAUUUCAAAAUGUCCAAUAGUUGCAAGGGCUUUAUACCUCUUUACAGUAACAACUUUUACAUGUUUCUAGGAAGUACACGUACCUAUUGUGCAUCAUAAGCAAUUCAAGCUCGGAGACGUUGUGAACCACAAACUUCCUGAAGCGGUUCGGUAGGUAAUGGCGGGUCUUCUUAUCAGACCCGUAGCCAAUGUUGGGCAUCAAGGUGCAUCCCUUGAACUUCCUCCUCACACGAGAAUCAAUACCCUUUGGCCUUCGCCAGUUUGGCUAUUUAUCACAUAAAACCAACCACAGCAAAUUGAAUAGAAGCCUUCUUAAAAACAAGCUGCUUACAAAUUAAAGCUGGAGACAACACAUAAUGAUAAUACAAAAAAUUUAAAAAAAGGCCAUAUCAGCAAUGUUCAAUGGCGCAUAGUUAAACAACUUUUAAAAGAUGUAAUGUGGGCGCCUGUUUUUCCGAAUCCUCAAUAAAGAGACUCAUAUCCUUAAUAAAUAGACUCACUAAGCAUGUAUUGCAGCUGGUUAAUAAAGGAAUCAUUUCCAUCCAAAAAAUAAACCACCACAAUUUGCAAAAGAUAGAUAGGCCAUAAUUUAACAGUGCAUGUCUGAGUUACAAUUCCGUAGAAAAGAAAGGGGUUUGAGAGGACAUGGAGAGAACAUAAGUUACAUAAAUACAUGGUAUAGUUUCCAUCCAAAUAUGCAAGUCCAAUUAUAACUAACAAAUGGAAUUACUUCAAUACUUGAGAGUAUUCCUUGCUACGAUUGGGUCAUAGUUAGUAGAUCCUAUACCGUCAUUGAAAGAAUAAUUUACAAUAACAAACAGCAGCAAAGUCAAAAACUGCAUAUACAAAUACAAAUGCCAUAUAAUCAAAUACUAUAGAAAGAAAAACUUUGCAAUGACAUGAGAAAUCAUUUCUAAUAACCACAUAUAAUAAUGAGAAGUACAAGUUACAUAUAAAACAUAAUCAAAUCACACGAAAUUAAACUCUCUAGCCCUAUUCAGAUACCACAACUCACAAAAAUCAAUUUGUAGCCUCUACAAAAAGAUAGAUAUGAAUGUUUAUAAAAGGCACAACCCCACUUCUCCGCAUUUGAUAUCAGUUGAUCUCUAACAUUAUACAAAUUCUGAAAAAACUAAUGAUACAAAUAAAAGUAACAUAACCAAGUUAAGAUUGUAAAAUUAUAGCAAAUGAAACUACGAUAACACGCAAGCAAGCUAAAACAAAGUAUUCUUCCCCGGCUCCGACAACCAACUUUUUGGCAAAGCUGAUAUCACCAAGCCUAAUCAUCUCAGAGACACCAGUACAUCACAACAAUCGGAGGACUCCCACCUCCAUAUUCGAUUUUGGAAGAUGAAAAUAAGUAAACAUACAACAAAUUUCUUUGUAUUUACGCAAUAAUUCAUGCUCAGCAUAGAGCAACAACACCUAUAGUCUAAUCAACAUCACACAACCAGAGCAGUACUAUAAUGCAUGAUUCGUGUAUUAGUAAAAUCACAUCAAAAUAUUGCAAGGAGAAAACAAAACAAAAGAACAACAAAUAUGAAAAAGUUUUAGUAUUAAUGAUGGAACAAAAAGAUAUACCUUGACACAGAUCUUGCGAUCGCUCUGCGGCCUCUUGAACUUCUUAACCCGCUUCUUCACGAUCUUCUUCGAGAGCAAAGGGACCGCCAUUUCUUCUAAGAAAAAACAGAAACAAAUCAAAUCAAACACACUCCAAUACGAAAAUCCAAACCCUAAAAAGGUAUCGAGGGGAGCAUUCGCACUAACCCUAACCCUAGGAGACGAGGAGAGUGGAAGCGAGACGAGGAUGCGGCGGCGACAGCUCGAACGCUCUUUAGGCCCAAACCCUAAUUAUAAAGGGGCGAGGGGAGAGAGGGUAACGAUGUCGCGGACGUGACUUGAUGGACGGUCGUGAUCUCGUCGAGCGUACGGAUGGAUGAGAACUAAACCUAGGGCAAUUGAUCAGAUCAGAUUGGGUCGGGUUGGUUCAGUGUUCAGUUUAGGUCAAGCUCCAAUGUGAAGGCUAUGUGUACAGGCUCGAACUUAUCCAACUUGUGAUUAAAUUAAUUUUGAGUUAAAUGUAGGGAUAGUCACUCUGCGUUAAUUCCUAAAAAUCUGCAAAUACAUUACACUUUGUCCCUAAUUAUUAAAGAAAUUCUAGGUGUUGGGCCUAAACAAGAGCCUAUUGCAUCGGCUUUGAAUUCCCAUAUAGAACUCGAGUUUGGGCUCAAAAUAGAUUUGAGCCUAUCCUGGGCUAUACCCAAAUUCGGCUCGAGUCUGUUGUGAAAUGUAAACUUAUGUUUCUCACGUACGGAAGUGUACGUCUAUUACUGUCUAAUAUAGUUGGUUAGUAUUUUGAAUUAACUAUCAAAAGAUCAGACAUUUGAAAUCCCAAGUGCCACGCGCAUAGACCUAGCAAACGAGCUGACCGGAUAACUUGUGAAAGAGUCAUUGUAUCCGCAGAUUAUAUGGAUGUGUAAAAUUUAUUCUUAAAUUUUCAAAUAGUCCAUCUUAUCCCAUACUCGCCCACGAGUGAAUAUGUGGGUUAUUCAUAAAUUUUUUUCCUUUUUACUUCUAUACUGUUUAAAUGCAAUAUAUAUAAUUUUUAAAAAUAUAAUAUAAACUUAUUAUUUGAAAUAUCAUAAUAUAAAAUAAAUAAUAUAAAAUCUUAAAAAACAUAAAUUUUAUAAUAUAAAAUUAUUUUAUCUUCUCAAAAUUUUUAUAAUACAAAAUUAAUAAAAUUAUUAUGAUUAUAAAGUCAAUACCGUAAAGAUUAUAUAUUUUUUAUUUUAAUUGAUGUGCGGAUAUCCAUAGAUACGUGAGUUGCCAAAAUGCUCACAACUUAACUAAUACCCAUUCUUUAUUUAUAAAAGGAAAGUGUUUUUUAUUAUUAUUUUUUUUUACUUUUUUAGUGAAAAAUUGAAAGGGAAAUUGUUUUGAACGUUGUAGGGGCGUGCUAACACGUUGUAGAAGAAAUAAUUCUGUCAUCAAAUUGUUCUGCUUUAGUUUGUCAGAGAAGGUCCGCUUACUUGCUAGCUUUGUAGCAAGGCAGUUGACAUUUCAAGGAAAAUCCAUUCUGAAAAGUAUAGAUCUUACACCUAUUUUAGAGUUUAAAAAAGUCUAAAUAAUUUUUAGUAAAAAUAAAAAAAAAAUUUAAUGUGACAAAUAAAAAUUGAAUGAUUUUGCAUGAAAUGAGUCUAAAAUGUACAUCAUAUUCUGAAUGACCAGCGGUACUGCAAGGGUAGUUUUUCAACUGCAUUUUGGGCACUUCCAGAAUUAGUUCCAGAGUGGUAAACUUUUGGUUUAAAGGUUAUCAUCACUAACCGUGAUACCAAGCUGAGAACGUUUUAAGCAGGUUUUGAUUAACACAACAAUAGAUCUCAAGCUAUACUUGAUCAACCGGAUAUGCCAGUUUCUAUACUUUUGGUUGAUGCGGUAGAAUAUAAAGAUAUUAUAAGUAAUACCCCUGACUCGGCAACACGACACUGCUCAAAAAGAGAAUUGAACUUGUUCGGGGAUCUAAUAACUGAUCAAAAUCCAUCUUUUAGCACAUAGAGAACAAAAUAUUUGCAUCAACAAACCUCUAUCCUUGGUAUAAAAAGAAAAAAAUCAGCUUCACCAUUAACUUUGCAGUCCUAAGCCCGAAACAUAACUAAUACUAGAUAAACCAAAAAGGAACAAGAAGACCAAAUUAUAAGCUCAUCAACGUUCAACUCAUAAUGAUUCAGUAAAAAAGCACAAGCACAACGCAAAAUGUUGACCACAAUUAAAAUUUUAAUCCUACAGCAAAAGCAAAGUAAAGUAACUUCGACAAAUAAAGAGCCUCAGUUUCGCAAACCAAAACAAACAAUUGAAACCGUCCCUCACUCAUCUUCUUGGCUGCGGAGCCUCGCAAGCUUGUUCGUAACAACAAUGUCGAGCUGGGCGGCACGCUCUACAAUCUCCUUACGCUUCCUCGUAGAGACGUUGUGUGCAAUUUCGGCGCAGUAUGUCCUGUUCAUUGUAAGCAAUUAGUAUUUACAAAAAAAUGAAUAAUGUGUGGUCAAAAGGUAAGAGGGAUCCCCUCAACUGUAGGUUCAUAUUGAAAUAAAUAAAUUAUUUUUACCUACAUCGCCGGAAAUUUCGAUUCUUCUGAUUUAAGCUAUCUCUAUCAACAAAAUAGAGAAUUUUGAUGAAUCUAGCGGUGAUGAGGGGUGUCAAUGAGGAAAGUAAAGUUACAAGGGCCUAUUUCAAAAUGUCCAGUAGCGGCAAGGGCUUUAUACAUCUUUACAGUAACAACUUUUACAUGUUUCUAGGAAGUACGCGUACCUAUUGUGCAUCAUAAGCAAUUCAAGCUCGGAGACGUUGUGAACCACAAACUUCCGGAAGCGGUUAGGUAGGUAAUGGCGGGUCUUCUUAUCGGAGCCGUAGCCAAUGUUGGGCAUCAAGGUGCAUCCCUUGAACUUCCUCCUCACACGAGAAUCAAUACCCUUUGGCCUUCGCCAGUUUGGCUAUAUAUCACAUAAAACCAACCACACCAAAUGAAUAGAAGCAAUCUUAUAAACAAGCCACUUACAAAUUAAAGCUGGA
rnacentral:lncRNA from 1 species